AUUGAACGCUGGCGGCAGGCCUAACACAUGCAAGUCGAGCGGACGAAGGGAGCUUGCUCCUGGAUUCAGUGGCGGACGGGUGGGUAAUGCCUAGGAAUCUGCCUGGUCGUGGGGGAUAACGUCCGGAAACGGGAGCUAAUAUCGCAUCCGUUCAGAGGUUGAACGUGGGGGAUCUUCGGAGCUCACGCUAUCAGCUGAGCCUAGGUCGGAUUAGCUAGUUGGUGGGGUAAAGGCCUACCAAGGCGACGAUCCGUAACUGGUCUGAGAGGGUGAUCAGUCACACUGGAACUGAGACACGGUCCAGACUCCUACGGGAGGCAGCAGUGGGGAAUAUUGGGCAAUGGGCGAAAGCCUGAUGCAGCAACGCCGCGUGUGUGAAGAAGGUCUUCGGAUCGUAAAGCUCUGUUAUUAGGGAGGAAGAGCAGUAAGUUAAUACCUGGCCGUUUUGACGGUACCUAAAGAAAAAGCACCGGCUAACUUCGUG
rnacentral:rRNA from 1 species